ACUCAACGUUAAUUCUUUAAAAAGGGUGAGUUUAAGUUGUAAAAGCAUGCUGCUGUAUUGAAUUUAUUUCAAUACCUAGCAGACCCUUGAUCAGCUUGUUAGCCCUAAACUUGUUUUUAAGGAGUUU
rnacentral:sRNA from 2 species